rnacentral:rRNA from 1 species
UACGGGGGGGGCAAGCGUUGUUCGGAAUUACUGGGCGUAAAGGGCUCGUAGGCGGCCAACUAAGUCAGACGUGAAAUCCCCAGGCUCAACCUGGGAACUGCGUCUGAUACUGGAUGGCUUGAAUUCGGGAGAGGGAUGCAGAAUUCCAGGUGUAGCGGUGAAAUGCGUAGAUAUCUGGAGGAAUACCGGUGGCGAAGGCGGCACUCUGGGCUGGUACUGACGCUGAGGAGCGAAAGCGUGGGUAGCAAACGAGG